GAUGAACGCUAGCGACAGGCCUAACACAUGCAAGUCGAGGGGCAGCACAAGGUAGCAAUACUGAGGUGGCGACCGGCGCACGGGUGAGUAACGCGUAUGCAACCUGCCUGUAACAGGGGGAUAGCCUCUUGAAAGAGAGAUUAAUACCGCAUAAUACAGUUGAACGGCAUCGUUCGACUUUUAAACAUUUAUGGGUUACAGAUGGGCAUGCGUUUCAUUAGGUAGUUGGUGAGGUAAUGGCUCACCAAGCCGACGAUGAAUAGGGGUUCUGAGAGGAAGGUCCCCCACACUGGUACUGAGACACGGACCAGACUCCUACGGGAGGCAGCAGUGAGGAAUAUUGGUCAAUGGGCGAGAGCCUGAACCAGCCAAGUCGCGUGAAGGAUGAAGGUCUUAUGGAUUGUAAACUUCUUUUAUAAGGGAAUAAAAAAGACCACGUGUGGUUUAUUGCAUGUACCUUAUGAAUAAGCAUCGGCUAACUCCGUGCCAGCAGCCGCGGUAAUACGGAGGANGCNAGCGUUAUCCGGAUUUAUUGGGUUUAAAGGGUGCGUANGCGGUUUAUUAAGUCAGUGGUGAAA
rnacentral:rRNA from 1 species